GAUGAACGCUAGCUACAGGCUUAACACAUGCAAGUCGUGGUGCAGCAUGGGGGUUGCUUGCAAUCCCCGAUGGCGACCGGCGCACGGGUGAGUAACGCGUAUCCAACCUGCCCUUCACCACGGGAUAACCCGGCGAAAGUCGGACUAAUACCGUAUGUUGUCCAUUGACGGCAUCCGAUUUGGACGAAAGGCUUGGCGGUGAGGGAUGGGGAUGCGUCCGAUUAGCCAGACGGCGGGGUAACGGCCCACCGUGGCUACGAUCGGUAGGGGUUCUGAGAGGAAGGUCCCCCACACUGGAACUGAGACACGGUCCAGACUCCUACGGGAGGCAGCAGUGAGGAAUAUUGGUCAAUGGGCGUAAGCCUGAACCAGCCAAGUAGCGUGCAGGAUGACGGCCCUAUGGGUUGUAAACUGCUUUUAUGCGGGGAUAAAGUGGCCCACGUGUGGGCUUUUGCAGGUACCGCAUGAAUAAGAACCGGCUAAUUCCGUG
rnacentral:rRNA from 1 species